GUACUCGCUUCAGCAGCACCUAUACCAAAAUUGGAACCAUACAGAGAUCAGCCUGGUCCCUGCACAAGGAUGACAUGCAAAUUCGUGAAGCGCCCGAUAUUUUA